rnacentral:rRNA from 1 species
CGUAGGGGGCUAGCGUUGUCCGGAAUCAUUGGGCGUAAAGAGCGUGUAGGCGGCCCGGUAAGUCCGCUGUAAAAGUCAAAGGCUCAACCUUUGAAUGUCAGUGGAUACUGCCGGGCUAGAGUCCGGAAGAGGCGAGUGGAACUCCUGGUGUAGCGGUGGAAUGCGCAGAUAUCAGGAAGAACACCAACGGCGAAGGCAGCUCGCUGGGACGGUACUGACGCUGAGACGCGAAAGCGUGGGGAGCGAACAGGAUUAGAUACCCUGGUAGUCCACGCCGUAAACGAUGGGCACUAGGUGUGGGAGGUGUCGACUCCUCCCGUGCCGGCGCUAACGCAUUAAGUGCCCCGCCUGGGGAGUACGGCCGCAAGGCUA